rnacentral:tRNA from 1 species
GGCUGUGGCUCAGUGGCAGAGCGCUUGUCUAGCAUGUGUGAGGCACUGGGUUCAAUUCUCAGCACCA